rnacentral:rRNA from 1 species
GAUGAACGCUGGCGGCGUGCUUAACACAUGCAAGUCGAACGAAGCACUUUGGAUAGAUUUCUUCGGAUUGAUAUCCUUGGUGACUGAGUGGCGGACGGGUGAGUAACGCGUGGGUAACCUGCCUCAUACAGGGGGAUAACAGUUAGAAAUGGCUGCUAAUACCGCAUAAGCGCACAGUACCACAUGGUACGGUGUGAAAAACUCCGGUGGUAUGAGAUGGACCCGCGUCUGAUUAGCUAGUUGGCAGGGUAACGGCCUACCAAGGCGACGAUCAGUAGCCGACCUGAGAGGGUGAUCGGCCACAUUGGGACUGAGACACGGCCCAAACUCCUACGGGAGGCAGCAGUGGGGAAUAUUGCACAAUGGGGGAAACCCUGAUGCAGCGACGCCGCGUGAAGGAAGACGUAUUUCGGUAUGUAAACUUCUAUCAGCAAGGAAGAUGAUGACGGUACUUGACUAAGAAGCCCCGGCUAACUACGUG